UACGAAGGGGGCUAGCGUUGCUCGGAAUCACUAGGCGUAAAGGGCGCGUAGGCGACUUUUAAGUCAGGGGUGAAAUCCUGAGGCUCAACCUCAGAACUGCCUUUGAUACUGAGGGUCUCGAGACCGGUAGAGGUAAGUGGAACUGCGAGUGUAGAGGUGAAAUUCGUAGAUAUUCGCAAGAACACCGGUGGCGAAGGCGGCUCACUGGCCCGGUACUGACGCUGAGGUGGCGAAAGCGUGGGGAGCAAACAGG
rnacentral:rRNA from 1 species